CUAAGCGCCAAGCCUGCCCGAAGAUUAGAUAUCCCUUAUACGUAAGUAUACUGAAGGCUGGUCGAAGACUACGACCUUGAUAGGUUGGAAAUGUAAGUGCUGCAAGGCAUUCAGUUAACCAAUACUAAUCAGCCGUGAGGCUUAAUCACC
rnacentral:rRNA from 1 species